rnacentral:rRNA from 1 species
UACAGAGGGUGCGAGCGUUGUUCGGAAUUAUUGGGCGUAAAGCGCUUGUAGGCGGCCUGUCAAGUCGCGUGUGAAAUCCCCUGGCUUAACCAGGGAAGUGCGCGCGAAACUGAAGGGCUUGAGUGCCGGAGAGGGUCGCGGAAUUCCCGGUGUAGAGGUGAAAUGCGUAGAUAUCUGGAGGAACACCGGUGGCGAAGGCGGCAUCCUGGGCCGAUACUGACGCUGAUGAGCGAAAGCCAGGGGAGCAAACGGG